CCGACAGACUGGAGGGAGCAGGCACGGCCCGGUGGCCAGGCCAGCGCAGGCUGCUCUGACCUGACCCUCUAGCGCACCCAGGCUGUCCCUGGAGUGGCUGCUGCAGGGUCACCACACUGCCACCUACAGCGCCAGCCCCACAGGGUAGCAGCACACGCUGGGGUUUAAGGUGAACAAGGUGGCCACAGAGUCCCCACAGAGAAAGCCCGGAAGUCCCUGGGCCCUGCCAGGUUUCUUUGGCCGGUGUUCCCGAGAUUUUGGACAGCUACGGACUCCACAAGCCCUCUCACCCCGCCGGGCGCCUUCUGAGGGCUUCACCAAUGACCCACCGCAUGUUGACAACAGCCCCGCCAGCAGGUGUUAUCACACCCCUUCUACAGAAGGGGAGGCACAGAGAGGUGGAGUGAUUUUGUAAAGUCACACAGUCAAGUGGGGAGCAGGAGUGGAACCCAGGCUUUGCCAUGGGACUAGAAAGCUUCGGAGUCUGGAGGUCACACAGAAGAGUGUCCUUGGUAAGUCUGAGGUCUCCGUUUCUAGAGUGGUACAUUCUGAAGUGCCAGGACCCCAGGACCUCCAGCUGUGCCCUCUACACAGCCAGCCAGGCGGUGUCUUCAGCCCCACAAGUGGCCAGGCCGGCUCUGCCUGCGAGGCUGCCUGCAGCCGUGCCCAGCGGGCCUGGUCGGCGCUGGGUGCGGGCGCUGCGCAGCGCAGCCUGGAUUUCCUUGGAGGACUUACUGCGAAGGCCAUGCUGAGCUCACAGGCCUGAGAAAGCGGAGCAGAGCUUCCAGCGCUGGGCAGCCUCCCCCGGCCUUCGGGGAGGCCCACAGGAAGGACUGAGGCGAGGUGAGCAGCCUGGAUGACCCACUUCAGGGCUGGCGUGUGGCUCCGGGGCGCAGCGUCACCCAGCCCCCCAGAGGCCCUGGGCCCGUCCCCAACACCACGCCAAGCAUGUCUGUGGCUCUCACAUCAGACCCUCACCACCGCGUGCAGUCAGCCAAGGGCUGGUCCAGCCUUCAGAACCCGCGCCCCCCCCCACAGCGCACCCCGGUUUCUCAUGCCUGUUUAGGGUUCAUAAAACUCACAGGGAGAGGAAACCCAGGCAG
rnacentral:lncRNA from 1 species